UACGGAAUCUUCCGCAAUGGACGAAAGUCUGACGGAGCAACGCCGCGUGAGUCAAGAAGGUUUUCGGAUCGUAAAACUCUGUUGUCAGGGAAGAACAAGUACCAACUAACUAUUGGUACCUUGACGGUACCUCACCAGAAAGCCACGGCUAACUACGUGCCAGCAGCCGCGGUAAUACGUAGGUGGCAAGCGUUGUCCGGAAUUAUUGGGCGUAAAGCGCGCGCAGGCGGUCCUUUAAGUCUGAUGUCAAAGCCCACGGCUCAACCGUGGAGGG
rnacentral:rRNA from 1 species